rnacentral:lncRNA from 1 species
AAGAAGAUGUUGGUAUUACGUACAUGAGGCAGUUAGGCAAUGUCACAAUAAUUAGAAUAAUCAAUUCGCUUCAAAUACGUUAUAUGAUUAUCAAUAAGGAUAUUCGGUCAUGAUUAUCAAUACGGAGCUUUUGUCAUGAUUAUCAAUAAGGAGAUCCGGACAUGAUAGUCAAUAAGGAGAUCCGGACAUGAUAGUCAAUAAGGAGAUUCGGGAUGAUAUCAAUAAGGAGAUUAGGACAUGAUUGUCAAUAAGGAGAUUUGUUCAUGAUUGUCAAUAAGGAGAUUCGGUCCCGACUGUCAAUAAGGAGAUUCGGAAUGAUAAUCAAUAAUGACAUUUAGACAUAAUUGUCAAUAAGGAGAUUUGGACAUGAUUGUCAAUAAGGAGAUUCGGUCCCGAUUGUCAAUAAGGAGAUUCGGUCCCGACUGUCAAUUAGGAGAUUUGGAAUGAUAAUCAAUAAUGACAUUUAGACAUAAUGGUCAAUAAGGAGAUUUGGACAUGCUUGUCAAUAAGGAGAUUCGGUCCCGAUUGUCAAUAAGGAGAUUCGGGAUGAUUAUCAAUAAAGAGAUUUGGAUAUGAUUGAAAAUAUGGAGAUUUGGACAUGAUUGUCAUUAAAGAGAUUCGGUCCUGACUUUCAAUAAGGAGAUUCGGUCCCGACUGUCAAUAAGGACAUUCGGGAUAAUUAUCAAUAAUGACAUUUGGACAAGAUUGUCAAUAAGGAGGUCGGUCAUGAUUGUUAAUAAUUAAAUUCGGUUAUGGUUGUCAAUAAAGAGAUUCGACAUGAUUGUCAAUAAGGAAAUUCGGUCAUGUUUGUCAAUAGGGAAAUUCGGUCCGGAUUGGCAAUAAGAAGAUUCGAUCCCGAUUCUCAAUAAGGAAGAUAAAGAAAAUGUUGGUUUUACGUAUAUGAAUAUGUUAGACAGUGUGAAAAUAAGAAAAAAAAUCAAUACGCAUUAAAUAAGUUGAAUGAUUAUCAAUAAGGAGAUUCGGACAUGAUUGUUGAUAACACAGGGAUAAGGAAAUUUGGUCAUGAUUAUUAAUAAGGAGAUUUGGACAUGAUUGUGAAUAAUGAGGUCGGUCAUGAUUGUCAACUACGAAAUUCGGUCAUGAUUUACAAUAAAGAGAUUCGGACAUAAUUGUCAAUAAGGAAAUUCGGUCAUGGUUAUCAAUAAGGAGAUUUGGACAUUAUUGUCAAUAACGAGAUUAUGUCAUGAUUGUCAAUAAGGAGAUUCGGGAUGAUUAUCAAUAAGGACAUUUGGACAUGAUUGUCAAUAAGGAGAUUUGGACAUGAUUGUCAAUAAGGAGGUCGGCCAUGAGUGUCAAUAAGGAGAUUUGGGAUGAUUAUCAAUAAGGAGAUUACGACAUGAUUGUCAACAAGGAGAUUUGGACAUGAUUGUCACUAAGGAGAUUAUGUCUUGAUUGUCCAUAGGGAAAUUCGGUCCUGAUUGUCUAAAAGGAGAUUUGGAUAGAAUUGUCAAUAAGAAGAGUCGGUCAUGAUUGUCAAUAAGGAGAUUCAGGAUUAUUAUCAAUAAGGAGAUUUGAACAUGAUUGUCAAUAAGGAGGUCGGUCAUGAAUGUUUAUUAGGAAAUUCGGUCAUGAUUUUCAAUAAAGAGAUUCGGUCAUGGUUAUCUAUAAGGAGAUUUACGCAAGAUUGUCAAUAAGGAGAUUAGGUCCUGAUUGUCAAUAUGGAAAUUCGGUCCUUAGUGUCAAAAAGGAGAUUUUGAUAUGAUUGUCAAUAAAGAGAGUCGGUCCCGAUUUUCAAUAAGGAGAUUCGGUCCUGAUUGUCAAUAAGGAGAUUCGGAAUGAUUAUCAUUAAGGACAUUUGGACAUGAUUGUCAAUAAUGAGAAAAAAGUAAAAUCACAAAAAUACUGAACUCAGAGGAAAAUCAAUUUGGAAAGUCCAUAAUCACAUGGCAAAAUCAAAUAACAAAACGCAUCAAAAACGAAUGGACAAGAACUGUCAUAUUCCUGACUUGGUACAGGCAUUUUCAAAUGUAGAAAA